rnacentral:rRNA from 1 species
UACGAAGGGGGCUAGCGUUGCUCGGAAUCACUGGGCGUAAAGCGCACGUAGGCGGAUUGUUAAGUCAGGGGGUGAAAUCCUGGAGCUCAACUCCAGAACUGCCUUUGAUACUGGCGAUCUCGAGUCCGGGGAGAGGUGAGUGGAACUGCGAGUGUAGAGGUGAAAUUCGUAGAUAUUCGCAAGAACACCAGUGGCGAAGGCGGCUCACUGGCCCGGUACUGACGCUGAGGUGCGAAAGCGUGGGGAGCAAACAGGG